AGCAGCCGCGGUAAUUCCAGCUCCAAUAGCGUAUAUUAAAGUUGUUGCAGUUAAAAAGCUCGUAGUUGAAUUUCGGGGUUAGUAGGCUGGUCGUGCCACUGGUACGUACUGGUCUCACUGAUUCCUCCUUCCUGAUGAACCGUAAUGCCAUUAAUUUGGUGUUGCGGGGAAACUGGACUGUUACUUUGAAAAAAUUAGAGUGUUUAAAGCAAGCUAACGCUUGAAUACAUUAGCAUGGAAUAAUGAAAUAGGACGUUCGAUCCUAUUUUGUUGGUUUCUAGGAUUGACGUAAUGAUUAAUAGGGAUAGUUGGGGGCAUUAGUAUUCAAUUGUCAGAGGUGAAAUUCUUGGAUUUAUUGAAGACUAACUACUACGAAAGCAUUUGCCAAGGAUGUUUUCAUUAAUCAAGAACGAAAGUUAGGGGAUCGAAGACGAUCAGAUACCGUCGUAGUCUUAACCAUAAACUAUGCCGACUAGGGAUCGGAUGAUGUUAAUUUUUUAAUGACUCAUUCGGCGCCUUA
rnacentral:rRNA from 1 species